rnacentral:lncRNA from 1 species
GUACCAGGUUUUCCUCAGGGGGAAGUGUUUCCAGGGGAUUAGUACCAGGUUUUCCUCAGGGGGAAGUGUUUCCAGGGGAUUAGUACCAGGUUUUCCUCAGGGGGAAGUGUUUCCAGGGGAUUAGUACCAGGUUUUCCUCAGGGGGAAAGUGUUUCCAGGGGAUUAGUACCAGGUUUUCCUCAGGGGAAAGCUUUCCAGGGAUUAGUACCAGGUUUUCCUCAGGGAAGCGUUUCCAGGGAUUAGUACCAGUUUCCUCAGGGGGAAGUGUUUCCAGGGAUCAUACCAGGUUUCUCAGGGGGAAGUGUUUCCAGGGGAUUAGUACCAGGUUUUCCUCAGCUGUGCUCCCUGCGGGGGAAGUGUUUCCAGGGGAUUAGUACCAGGUUUUCCUCAGGGGGAAGCGUUUCCAGGGGAUUAGUACCAGUUUUCUCGCGGGGAAAGUUUCCAGGGAUUAGUACCAGGUAUUCCUCAGCUGUGUCCCUGCGGGGGAAAGCGUUUCCAGGGAUAGUACCAGGUUGAAUAACUUGUGGCUGGCUGAAGUCAGAGCAGAGAACACUCUCCAGACAGUCAUAUCUUAUAAAAUCACUCGCAGCUAACGGGCCUCAGCAGCUCUGAGGUCCUGGGUUGGGAUAGGGUAGGCUUCCACCUGAAACCGGGCCCGUACAGCAGACGCCAGGUGACGUCAGGAGCUCUGAGAUCCUGGGUUGGAUAGGUUAAGGCUUCCCACCUGAAACAGGGGCCCGUACAGCAGGCGCCAGGUGAAGUCAGGAGCUCUGAGAUCCUGGUUGGAUAGUUAGGUUCCCACCUGAAACAGGGGCCCGUACAGCAGGUCCCAGGUGACGUCAGGAGCUCUGAGAUCCUGGUUGGGAUAGGGUUAAGGCUUCCCACCUGAAACAGGGCCCGUACAGCAGGCGCAGGUGAAGUCAGGUACCAGGUACUCACAUCUGCUCUAUGAUCCUGGGCUAAGGUUAGGGUAUAAGGUCAUUACAGGAUUCCCAGUUGCUUCAUGACAGCAGGUACAGACCUGAGGACAUACUGGGGCUUCAGAUAGCAGGACAAGCAGGUACAGACCUGAGGACAACUGGGGCUUCAGAGCGACAGCAGGUACAGACCUGAGGACAUACUGGGGCUUCAGGACAGCAGGUACAGACCCGAGGACAUACUGGGCUUCAGGACAGCAGGUACAGACCCGAGGACAUACUGGGGCUUCAGUACAGCUGGUACAGACCUAAGGACAUACUGGGGCUUCAGACAGCAGGUACAGACCUGAGGACAUGCUGGGGCAGCUGUACCAGCUGCUUUUUUUCUGUCACGAGUCACUAGAGACCUAAGCAGUUCACAUAUGAAAAGACACCAAAACGAACAUGCAGCUAACUGAGAUCCUUCCAUUCUACUCUGCUGAUUGGGUCAGGGAGGGAGAAGAGAACUGGGAACAGUUUGGGAUCUCCAUUCUAC